CUGGGCGCAAUCAUGGUUGUGCUGAUUCCGUGGCCAUACGAAAGGGUUCGCAAGGCAAUAUUUAUGGCCAUGUGACUGGUAGAUUGAUGAUGUGGAUCUUAGGGAAUCCUGUGAAGAUAGAAGGUUCAGAGUUUGCUAAUGAGAGAGCAAUUUACAUCAGUAAUCAUGCAUCUCCAAUAGAUGUCUGUCUUAUAAUGCGUGUUGAUUUCCCACUGGAACUGUUGGCAUUGCAAAGAAAGAGAUCAUUUAUUACCCUUUUUU